rnacentral:rRNA from 1 species
AUUGAACGCUGGCGGCAGGCCUAACACAUGCAAGUAGAGCGAGCGGCGGACGGGUGAGUAAUGUCUGGGAAACUUCCUGCUGGAGGGGGAUAACUAAUGGAAACGGUAACUUAUACCGCAUACCAUUAGAUUUUCCCAGAUGGGAUUAGCUAGUAGGUUGGGUAAUGGCUCACCUAGGCGACGAUCCCUAGCUGGUCUGCGAGGAUGACCAGCCAAACGGGAACUGAGACACGGGCCAGACUCCUACGGGAGGAAGCAUUGGGGAAUAUUGCAAAAUGGGCGCAAGCCGGAUGAAGCCAUGCCGCGGGGAUGAAGAAGGCCUUCGGGUGGUAAAGUACGUUCAGCGAGGAGGCGUUACUCGCAGAAGAAGCACCGGCUAACUCCGUGCCAGCAGCCGCGGUAAUAC